CUUAUCUGUGGUGUUCAUUUUCCAGAGGAAUGUCUGGCCAAAUAAGUAUAUAAACUGCAUGCUGGGUGCUACUCAUUUAUGAACCCAUGUAAAAUGAUUUGCUGUUCUGUGGUGGUAUUUUAGUCCAUAUUUAAAUGAUUUUAUUUUAUUUUUUUCAUAGGACAUCGUACAUGCUCUGGGUGUCUUGAGGAGCUUGUCUUUGGAUGAUGCUGAGCAGGUCUUUCUUUCUGGUAACGGUUAUCAUUACAGUGAAGUAAAAGAAUUUAACAGACAGAUUGACAAACAACUGACGAAAGAAGAGAGACCAUUCAAUAGAGGACUUCUAGAUGUAUCCAUAAUCCUGGACCAGACCGUAUCAUGAGCAGAUGCAGUGGUGGUCAUGGAGAAGUGGAGAGCAUGAGACUGAUUAAUGAAAGACCCCAGCGACAGAUGAGUGCCCACAUUGAUCCUGUGGUCCAGCCUGAAAACCCGCUGGUGCCCUACUCACACCAGCAGCUUCUCCACGAUGGAUGCCCAGUGUUCUUCAGCCUCCAGCGCUUAGACUGCAGCUCUGCACGUGAAGUGUGGCCAGAAGAGAAAUGGUUGUGCCCAACUGAGCCUGGUUUCUCUCAAGGUUUAUUCCUUCAC